GCCGGGCAUGGUGGUGCAUGCCUGUAAUCCCAGCUACUUGGGAGGCUGAGGCAGGAGAAUUAUUUGAAUCCAGGAGGCAGAGGUUGCAGUGAGCUAAGGUUGUGUCACUGCACUCCAGCCUGGGUGACAGAGCAAGACUCUGUCUCAA
ensembl:misc_RNA Metazoa_SRP Metazoan signal recognition particle RNA